rnacentral:rRNA from 1 species
AUGAUAUCUAUGGAGUACGGGAGAGGUGGGGGGAACUGCAGAAGUAGAGGUGAAAUUCGUAGAUAUGUGCAGGAAUGCGGAUGAUGAGGAUAGUUCUCUGGACGGUAACUGACGCUGAAGUGCGGAAGCCGGGGGAGCGAACAGG